CAUAAAUUUUUAUGAAAAUUGGACAUUGAGUAAUGGAGAAGGAUGUGAUUAGCAUUUUCAGUUACAGAAAGGCAUACGGAGCUGGGGAUAUUGAGGUCAGGUAGAAGGAAUAGGGGAAGGUCUAGAAGAAGCCAGGAGGAAAAGAGUUGUCAGACAGGGAGAGGCAGGGAGGUGGAUCCUUACAUCAGCAGGGCAAGAGAAGGACUGUGUGUAUGCUGGAAACAAAUUCACAGGAAAGCAGGCUUCAUGAGUCCACUGGCUUAUGGAUCCUACCAGAACUCUGCAAAACCUAUUUGCUGAAAAGUACGCCAAGAGAAAUCACUCAUGAGGUGAGCAAAUACUCCACAUCUUUUUCCCCACUCUCAUUUCCCCGUGGAAAGAAUGCCUGCAAAUAGCUGCAAGUGAGCAUUUUCCUUCGCGUUGCCCUCCAGCCUCGCCAGCCUGCACGCCUCCCAAGCUGCUCUCCCUCCUGCUGCCUCUGCUCAUGCCAGGUGACAGCCCAGCUCAGGAAGAAGCUUCAUUCUUCCAACCCUUUCUCAGAAGAACUCCUGCCCACACCAGAGAAAACCUGGUUUCAGACCCUGGUAUCCUCAGGGUGGUUGUUCUCCUGUGAGGAACAGCUGGAUGUGACAACGCAGAUGCUGGAAGCUUCCUGAGUGGUGGUAAGUGGCCAUGAUGUUGUAGGGAAGUUAAGGCAGAAACUGAAUUUGUUGAAAAUCUGCCAGAAAUUACCUACAUGAAGAUUAUAACUACUUGAAAAAAAGAGAUGUGGAUGGAAAUGGCAGGUGUGUAGAAAUCUGGUGUUUCUCUUUGUGAUUUGCAAAGCAGCACCUGGAGACCAGCUGACAACAUGAAAAAGAUCCUUAGAUCUGGCUUGCCAGAAAAGGAGGCAGAAAUCAGCAACCUGAAUUAUGUGGGCUGCUCCGAAAGUAAUGCUUCCUAUUUAUUUCUAUAGAGACUACAACAGGUACAAAGACAACAAUAACAUUACUCAAUAGAGCAAAUUCUCAGCUGCAAAACACUCUUUUCCAACACUGUCAUCAACACUAGCUAUGGAUUUUCAUCAGCCGUGAACAAGAACCUGCAUGCUGCAGUCAUAAAAAUCUGCACCGGUGGAGGUAAGCCACUGUCAGUGUCACCACUGCUGAAACACACCACCCACCACCUCGCUGUGCUCACAUCCACUGUUUGGUCUCCAUAAGUAUUUCGGAAGUGUUGAUGAAUGUCAGUGGGUGCCGUUUUUUUUCCACAUGGAGGAAUGUAACUACACACCUUUGCUUCCGACACACUUCCAUGUCACAUGCCAUCCUGUCAGACUGCUUCUCUGCUGCCAUCUUGUCACGUGGCAACAACACGUAAUGGAACACUGUUGGGAAGGUUCAGCCUCAACUGCCAUACCACCAAUAUCCACCUCUGAUGCUGUGGGUCAACAAUAAAACAGGAGGCACUACCUUCGGAACAGCUCUUGUAUGUGAGGUCCAGCAGGUGCUGGCACCAGUAAAAAUAAUGGAAAUUUCAAAUAAAUAAGGUGAGCUGAGAAGGCCUCCUUAGAACACAUGUAAAAAAUUUCAUUAUCAUUAAACUUGGAAGCCAAGCACAGCUUUUCAUUUUCAACUCCCUGCAAGAUUGAUUUGACCUGUAUUUAGUGAGGGACUUCAGCCUUUUGUAGCCACCUGGAGCAGGGGACAGGCAAAGGCCAAGGCAUUUCCCUGUCCAGGUGGCCCUCAUAAAUAUCUCAGUGGAAUUUAUUUUCUUUCAUUUACUUUGGCAUUGCUUGGGCACUCCUUGAUUAAGGAGUGGUGUGUAGGAACUGACAUGCCCAGAGAUAGACAGCCACAUCUGCUAACCAUUUGGAUUAAUUAUUACACCUGUACCAUAAAACACAUGUUAAUAAAAGGCUGGUGAACAGGUUCAAGUUGCAGUUUUAAAAAGGGCCCAAAGAAAGCAAAAUGCAAGCCAUACACAAGAAGAGGCCAAACCUUUUGCUGAUAAGAUGCUGUAGGCUCCAACCACAUACAAGGAAGAGACAAUGUUAGAUACACUAAAUAUAUAUAUAUAUAUAUCACACAAGCAAACAAAAUAGGAACGUGUGUAUCCUGGCAAACUAUGCCUUUGUAGACCAUUGGCUAGAAGGUGAACAACAGUACACAUUCUUUCUUUCCUUCUUUCUUUUCUGUUAGAUGUAAAAGGAAAAAAAUCAUUAAUCACUCUGCAGGAUACAGCACUUAAAUGGGUAAAGUUGCUGAAGGGGUCUGGUUAGAAUCAGCCGAUUUUUCAUUUCCUUUCAGUGGGGACAGUGUGGUGCUCUGGAAUCUCUGGAGACCAGGAGCAUGAAUGCAGGUAUUGAAUUUUCAGGAGGAGACAAUUAAGGCCAAAUAUGUGAGAUACAAUCAUAUUUAAAUUAAUUCAGGUACUUCAACUGAAGACUUAAACCCUCUGCCUUCUUUGAGAUGCAUAUCUGGGAGAGCUUUACUGAGCUGGUAUUAAUCAUUCUAGGUUUGUAUCAGUUACAGUGGAAAGCAGUGGAGCUCUGUAUUUAUUAUUUAUUCUAUUGAACUGUCUAUGGAAAAACAUUUUGCUGAAUAAACUCUUCAAAUAGCCUUUGCUAUUCGAGAAGGCCUCCUUAGAACACAUGCAAAAAAUUAAUUAUCAUGAGGAAGCCAAGCACAGCUUUUCAUUUUCAACUCCCUGCAAGGAGCAAGGUGCCAAUUCUGUUUAGUGUUAGAUAACUUCUGACCACAUCAUGACUUGUAGAUGGACUGAAAAGGAAUAGGUAUCACAGGACAACGGUGAAGGCAAGUGUAGAUCUCACUUUGGACUGCAUCUGUAGUUGACCCUUAUCUGUUAUUUUUGGAGGCUCCUUUGGCAUAUUAGUACUCAACACAGCAAAUAUCACUAAGGAGGAGGUGCAUCAUGCUGCUCUGAUGACCAGUAUUGUUAGACAACCAUGCGUUGUUAAUGAAAUCUUUCUAAAUGAAGAAAGCCAGAAAAUGCUUCUCAAGCCUUCACAAAUAAGACUUGACUACAAACCCAUCACUUCAGUGCAUUUGGUCUUGACCUUUAAAUGUAGCAGUCACAUGAUCCAGGAGAAAGCUGAGGUCUCUAUUCUGCCACCAAACCCUGCCAAAGCUGUGGGUUCAGCUGAAGAGCUACUGCAUGCUUGGUGGAUUGACCGUGGUUACAAAUACCACUUGCAGGUAAGGCUUUCCAUUCACUGAUCUCUAUUUAGCCCAUGUCUUCCUGAGAGGAUGGACUCAGAAACAGUAUGGCUGCUGGGUUACCUGUAAUCAUUUAAUUUUAGACAUCAUUAUUUUAUGUUUUGAAGAUAGCAUAGAUUUCUGCAUCAGAUACACCACCUUAUCACUACCAGGCUAAAUAUGAACCCAAAAGAUUGGCAGAUCAGCCAGGCAGAAGAAGCUUUCUUCCAAGGAAUGCUAUUCAGCUUCACAAGGAAGAUGGGGCUUUCACAUCAUCACAGCUCCUGCUCCAGACUCUGCUAAAUGAGCUGCAGUCAAGGACAGUUUAUAAGACAUAGUAAGUCUUGCUAUGGGAUGGACGAGCUAAAGCAGUUUGCCCAGCCACAGCAUGAAGAAUACACUUUCAAGGCUAUAUUUCAUGAAACGGGACCAAAAAAAGAUGAAGUUAAAUGUCUGUCUCACUUGCCUAAAGAAAUAUCUUAUGGAAACGUGACAGCCUCCUAGGAAUGGGAUUACAGCAGUAUGGAAUAUACAGUGAUACAAUUUUAAGAGAUAGCCCACAGUAAAUCUGAGAAAGUUAUUCAUUCUUAUACAUCUGCUUUACUGUUUGAAAGUUACUUCCUCCUUCAAUCCCAGUCUAAGACUUUGUACUCUCUACCUGCACAUGUUCAGUUUGUUCUGUGCACAACAGAGAAACGCAAAGAAUUUCCAAAAAUAAGGUUGUAGUUAAUGCCAGGUCAUAUGUACUAAAGCCCUAACAGAGGAUAGCACUGCUUUCCUAUUAUUACCAUUUUUUAAUGGUCUAAUUUUUCCCAGUGGAUACCAGUACAUGCAGAGGUUGUAGCAGAUGAAAAAAAAAAAGAAAAAGAAGAAGAAAGAAGAAUGUUUCUAUAUACUUCUGUUGUAAUCUGGAAAAUAAUGGCUUGCAGCAAACUGACGCUACAUUAAACGUACCUUUCUAGUAGAUGAAAAAUUUCUGAUUCUGAUUUUGGUUAUUUCAGUUGAUGGUUUUUUGCUUUAUUUUGUUUUGCUUUUUUGUUUUCAAUUCCUCUUGCAUUUAGUGCAGGUUAAAGCUUCCUGAAGAUGACUAACUCACAGUAACAUGUGUAUGCACAUGACAGAAUAACUCCCUUGCUGGCUCAAAGACAUACAUAUGCUUAAACACUUUGGAGAAUUGGAGCUAAAAUUAGCAUUUCAUUUUCUUUAUUUUCAAGCUAUAUUUUUCAGCCUUCUUUGUAUUACCACUGUAUUAUUCAAGAACAUUUUUGUGGUUACUCUGAUCAUUAUAGUACUGUCUAUGUUAUAGAUGCCAGCUUUAGCAUAGUUGUAGUAUCUGAAUUGAAGUGCACUGAAACUACUGGUGCAUCAACCACAUCCAUUCCUCUGAACUGCAAUCAUCUCUGGAAUGUAUUAAUUGCAAGCUAUUGUUUAGAUUUACUAUCCAGCUCCACCUUCUGGUAAACUUGUAUUAAAUCUAACUUGUUAAGUUUCUUUUGACUUACAGUUACUGAAAGCAAAUUCUUUGCUUUUUAUCUAUGGCACUGCUCAACAUCUAAGAAUGAUUUUACUGACCAGUAUUAACCACGCCAACCAUUGAAUUUGGACUCCAUUGUUCCUUUCAGGGAC
ensembl:lncRNA